ensembl:snRNA U6 U6 spliceosomal RNA
GUGCUAGCUUCGGCAGCACAUAUACUAAAAUUGAAACGAUACAGAGAAGAUUAGCAUGGCCCCUACGCAAGGAUGACACACAAAUUCAUGAAGCGUUCCAUAUUUUA